GGAAAAGCAACCUAAUGUUGUUUCUUCUAUUGUAGAAGCGGCUGCUAGGGGGCAAGCCGAUCAGACGCCAUAAAAAUUGUAAGUUGGAAUGUAUGUGGAUUAGGGAGUACGUGGGCUAAACGAAGGCUUUGAUAGAUGUUGAAGUCUAUAAUCCCCAUAUGGUCUACUUAAUGGAGAUUAAAUUGGAUGGUGCACAAAUGGAAAGAGUUAGAAGGAGAUGUGGAUUUGCUAAUAGGA
rnacentral:lncRNA from 1 species